CGCAUCUGUGCAUGCAGCAUAUCAAUAAGCGGAGGAAAAGUAACUAACAAGGAUUCCCCUAGUAACGGCGAGUGAAGCGGGAAGAGCUCAAAUUUGAAAUCUUAAAGGGUUUCCCUUUACGAAUUGUAGUUUAAAGAAGUGUUUUCUGUUGAGGUUUUGGUAAAAGUUCUUUGGAAUAGGACAUCAUAGAGGGUGAGAAUCCCGUAUUUGACCUUUACUUUCAACUUUGUGAUACACUUUCAAAGAGUCGGAUUGUUUGGGAAUGCAGUCCAAAAUGGGUGGUAAAUUUCAUCUAAAGCUAAAUAUUGGCGAGAGACCGAUAGCGAACAAGUACCGUGAGGGAAAGAUGAAAAGAACUUUGAAAAGAGAGUUAAACAGUACGUGAAAUUGUCAAAAGGGAAGCGUUUGACACCAGUGUUGUUUUUCUGAAAAUCAAUUAAAGAACUGUUUAUGCUAAGUUGUUUAGACUUUAUCAGCUAACUGUUUAGUUUUGAGCUUUUCUUUAACGCACUUUUCAGUUAACAAGUCAACAUCAAUUUCUUUUGCUGUAAAAAAGCUUGAGGAAGGUGGCUUGAGAUUCGUCUUAAGUGUUUAUAGCCUCUUGCCUAUGCAGUCGGAGAGAUUGAGGUCUGCAGCGUAGAUCCUUCGGGGCUAAAUGCAUUUGUGCUAAGUUAUAGCAUUUUAUAGACAACUUGUUGACUAUGAUUUGUCUUGUAGCUUACUCGCUUAUGUUAUUUUACCUACGCUUAGGAUGUUGAGUCGUAGAGCACGCAG
rnacentral:rRNA from 1 species